GCUAGCAUGGUGUAGUGGUUUGAGUGUUGAACUAUGACUCUGGAGAGCAGGGUUCAAAUCCCUGCUCUGCCA